GAGGUAGUUCUAUUGUUGGUAAAUAGAGCUAUAUUGUAGCUAUAGUGCCUUUGCGCUGCGACUGUUCGAUUCAGUCCUACCUCA
rnacentral:tRNA from 1 species